rnacentral:lncRNA from 1 species
GAGAGCUACAGCUGCCUAAGACCUGGGGACUGGGACCCACAUGAGCUCCCUCUGAAGCAAUGCUGUUACAUGGUCUCUAGGCACCUUCCUAUGCUAGUCUCAGGGCCUAUGAGGGUUGAGGGGUUUCCCUUUGGCUAUGGUUAUAAAAUCCAUGGUCAGAAUGUCAACCGCUGUGGAUCUCUCACUUACCUUUUUCUUGCACUAGGGAGCCACUCUGGGUUCCCAGCCAAUCCCAGCCAAGCUUUCUAGUGUUCGCUCUUAGAUGUUCUUCUUGAAGUGUGAUUACUUGCUAUUUUUAUUUUUCUUUGUGGAGGAGGUGAGUUCUUGAUGCCUGUAGUCAGCCAUCUUGAAGCCUCUCCAGCCUUUUGCAGUUUUACUUAUCUUCUGACACCAAAUCUGUCAAAAGAAAAAUUUAAACAAAUUAAAUGUAACAGAGUUUAACUGAUCAAGAAAAAAAUGUGUCUCAGACAACAUCAGAAUCAGAACAGAUUCAGAGAGAGUCUGUGGCUACCAUAUGGUCAGAUAUGAUGUAUGGUCAGAAAAAGAAAUGACAUACAGAAAAUGAAAGUGAAGUACAAACAUCUGGAUUAGCUACACCUUGGCAUUU